rnacentral:lncRNA from 1 species
GCAGGGGUCUCAUCCCACCUAGAACGCUGCCGCUUUGGCGUAGGCGUGGCUAAGCCUUUAGGAGUAGCGUCCCAAGUCAUACCAGCAGGAGUGGCCCCCGGAGUGACACCCCCGGCUGGGGUACCAUCCGAAUCAGCCACCCUUCCAGGUGUCGGUGUCUCAUCCCAUCUGUUUCGUCUCCCAGCAGACGGAGUCGCAUCAGACACUCUUCCAGGCGUGGGAGUUGCGUCCCAUCGACCACUCACACCUGGUGUCGAAUCCGGUAAGUCCCAAUCCGAUGAGGCUGCUUCUGGUUUAGCCUUCUUGGCAGGUGCUGGAACGGCCUCAUCCUGGGACUGAUCCCACCUAUUCCUUCUUUUGGAC